CCUUGUCCGAGUCCCGGCGCUGCCUUCGCCACCACGGCAGUUUCGGGACGAAAAUGGCGGCAGUAUCCGAAGAACACCUGCCGCCGCGUUCAUUCACGGCUGGGGCUGCUGCUUCGGCUAUCCCUACAACGGGGGGUUUAUCUCAGGGUCCGCCCGGCGGAGCCGGCGCCAACCCGCUGUCCCGCAAGCUCCGCAAAGUGCUAGAGACGCGGUUGGAAGCGGACAAAGAAAUGUUAGAAGCGCUCAAGACUCUUUCAGACUUUUUUGUGGAAAACAGCUUGCGUACCAGAAGAAAUCUGCGCGGGGAUAUUGAACAUCGUAGUUUAGCUAUCAAUGAAGAAUUUGUCUACAUUUUCAAACAAGUGAAAGAGGAGCUUGAAAACAUCAGUGAAGAUGUGCAAUUAAUGAGCAAUUGCUGCCAGGAUAUGACUAAUCACUUGAAGGCAACUAAGGAGCAAACUCAGGAUUUGAUUGUCAAAACAACAAAACUUCAAGCAGAGAGCCAAAGGUUAGAAUUAAAAGCACAAAUAGCAGAUGCUUUCAUAGCAGAAUUCCAACUUUCUCCAGAGGAGAUGAACGUCCUUCGAUGCACCAGAGAUGGGUCAGUUACUGAAAAUUUUUUUAAAGUAUUGAGACGAAUAAAGCAAAUUCACAAUGAUGUCAAGAUUCUUCUGCGCACCAGUCAACAAAGAUCAGGGCUGGAGAUUAUGGAACAGAUGGCACUCCUCCAGGAGACUUCUUAUGAACAGCUGUAUCGUUGGGCCCAAGGUGAAUGCAGGGCUUUAACACAAGAAACCUGUGAUGUUUCUCCAGUUCUAGCUCAGGCAAUGGAAGCUUUGCAAGACAGGCCUGUUCUCUAUAAAUAUACUCUUGAUGAGUUUGGAACAGCCAGAAGAAGUACUGUGGUCCGGGGCUUUAUAGAUGCUCUUACUAGAGGAGGUCCAGGAGGAACACCUCGACCUAUUGAAAUGCAUUCACACGAUCCUUUGAGAUAUGUGGGAGACAUGUUGGCUUGGCUGCAUCAGGCUACUGCUUCCGAAAAAGAGCACCUGGAGGCUCUCUUGAAACACAUAACCACAGAAGGAGUGGAAGAAAAUAUGCAAGAAAUAGUUGGGCACAUCACAGAAGGGGUUUGCCGGCCACUCAAGGUUCGAAUUGAACAGGUGAUUAUAGCUGAACCUGGUGCAGUCCUUCUGUAUAAAAUUUCUAAUCUUCUCAAAUUUUAUCAUCACACCAUUAGUAAUAUUAUAGGAAACAGUGCAGCCAUGCUGUUAACUACGAUAGAAGAGAUGCACCUUUUGAGCAAAAAGAUAUUCUUCAAUAGUUUGAGUCUCCAUGCGAGUAAACUGCUGGAUAAGGUUGAACUGCCACCUGCAGACCUUGGUCCAAGUCAUACACUGAAUCAAACACUUGCUCUUCUGCGUGAAGUACUAUCAUCCCAUGACUCUUGUGUUAUUCCUUUGGAUACUCGUCAAACAGACUUUGGACAAGUCCUGUCUUGUGUGCUGGAUCCUCUGUUGCAGAUGUGUACUAUGUCUGCCAGUAACUUGGGGUCUGCUGACAUGGCAACCUUCAUGGUGAAUUCACUUCAUAUGAUGAAGACAAUGCUGGCUCUGUUUGAAUUCACAGAUAAAAGGCUAGAAAUGUUACAAUAUCAGAUUGAAGCACAUUUGGAUACCCUUAUAAAUGAACAAGCGUCUUACAUAUUAACUAGAGUGGGUCUAAGUUAUAUUUAUAACAUGGUACAGCAACACAAGACAGAACAGGAAGGAUAAUUCUUUCUGAAAGCCUUAGUUUCAAAAAGGAGUUGUUAUGUGCAUGGUUAUAAUUACAUAACAUGCAAAACCCAUCAUACUGUUUCCUUUCAUGGCAAGCAAACCCCAGAAAGAGAGUAAGAAAUAGUAAGUCAAAGAAAUUAAAGGCAUGAGGUAAGAAGAAAAAAUAGAACUAAAUUUGAUUUAUACCAACACAAUUCAUUAUCUCCAUAUUUUUUUUAUAGCUGCCAACUAUUCUUGUUUGAAGCAUAUUCAUACACAUAGUAAUAUGCUCACCAAUGCCACCAAACUAUAAUUUGUAUGGAUUUCUCCUUUCCUUCAUGGCAAUCCCAUGCUCUUAUAUAAAGCCAAUUUCUGCUUCUUUUGAUAAACAUUAAUUCCUUACAUCUGGCACAUACUGUCUACAAACUUUCUGCUAAAAUUGAUAUAUAGUACAAUAUUUCUAUCAAUUUUUCCAUUCUAAUAAUAAACAUUUCCCCAAGUUUCUUACAAAUAAUUUUGAGUCCUCAGCUAUCACUGUAAUUGUGUGCAAAAGUGCAUGUACAGUAUAUUCAUGCCUCUACAAACACAUUUGUUCUAUUGCUACAAGCAUUCUUUAUAUGUUUAUCCAUAAAUACCUUGAACAAUUAAAGGGACGUCCUCUAUUUUUUUGUAUACCUAACUGAGGGCCUACUUGAUGUUAAACCAUUCACUAAACAUUCCAUUUAUGUUCAUAGAUACUUUAUUUCAAUCAUGGAAGUUUAACAACCAGCCUUCAGCUGCACACUCACACAAAACUUUCCAUAAUUCAAGCCGGUUGCUUUUUCUACAAUAAAAUAAAAAUAAACUCUUUUUAUAUUCACACUCAUGGACCUAAAGCACUCUGUAGCAUAACACUUUUGUGUCUGUUCUAAACAGCAUUCUGUAACCACUUUGCUUGUAUCAAUUUUCAUUCUUUGGUACAAUUACCUUAUUUGUUGGUUUAUUUAUUUAAAACAAUAUAGCUGCCCAUCUUCUGGGUGGCUUCCAAUCUUCUAAUCCAUUUUCAUACACGCUUGUCCUUUCUCUUCCUGCAGAAUUCUACUUUCACUCUUCGUUUCUUUCACUUCUUUUCUUCUCUCAUCCUUCACUAAUAUACUCAAAUAAGUUUACAUUUGUAAGCUAGUGAAGUCAUUGCUUUCAAUUCGGCUUAGAAUCCUUGCUUGUUGGAGCAAAUUCAUCAUAAUUGCAAGCAUGGCCUAAUGGAAGGCUAUCUAUUUCUGGCUACUUUAUUUAUAAUGAGUCAAAUGCAAUCAAGCAGAUUACAUUGCAAGGAUCAGCCCUUCAAGGAAGGCCAGGUGAGGAAAGCAUACAGGGUAAAGAUUUUAGGAAUGUUAUUUUUCUUUAUUGGCAUAAUGACAGAAUCUUGAAAGCCUCCAGGAAUUUCCAUCACCCUCUUCUUAACACUAAACAAAAACGGUUAAGACAGGGUUAUCUUGCAUUUGUUUUUUAUGCUUUUCCUGAGUUAUUUAUUUUCUCUUAACAUUACUUUAAUUCCUCCAUCAAUGAGGUAUCGUCUGCUCCUUUAUAGGAACAAUAUAUGAUAGACUAGAGCAUUUUCCUCUACGUUAGCAUAAGCAUGGAUGAGAAACAGGAGAUAUUACGAUUUCACAGAGGCAAAGUUUAAUAUAUUGAAAUAAAUAUAAUUCAGAAUUUAAGAAUCAAUAACCAACCAGGUUCUUGUUGGAACAGAAAUAUCUUAAGACUUUUGAAAUUUUGGUGAGAGACAAGACCCAAUUUCAUGUUAUCAAAAUUAGUUUGAGUAAUAUGGUUUCUAUUUUCAUACUCUUAAACCUGUUCUUCAACCAAACUAAAUAAGGCUUGCAGGUAGAAUUAUUUAAUAAAAAGUAACUCCAAAUGGACACAAUCUUAAACACGCUGGAAGGAAGCUAGAUUAUUCAUAAGAUUUUAGGAGACCUCGAAGGGAUGUCAACAAGUAUGUUUUUAAGGCAGUCAUGAGGCCCUGAUCUACCUGAAAAAGAUACAGCUGCAGUGGCAUCUUAAAAAGAGUAGAUAGGAUUUUGGCGUGUGGAGUUUUAAAGUUUUAACUUGUAUUAGGUAGAUUUGUCUCCAUUCAAUUAACCCGCAUAUGACCAGGAAUUUACUUUGUAGUUUUCAUAUUGGGUUUUUUUAACCUCCCAUUCAAAAAGAUAAGCAGGGGUUAACUGGUAUCCUUGGCAGUUUUUGAAUAAAGAAAUACAUUAUUUUAGUUUUAGAACACCAAGCCACUUUGUGAAAAAUAGUGUAACUUUGUAAUUCAUAAGCUGGUAAGAGGUUUUUGAUUGUGAUUUACUCAAUUUUGCUUUUGUUGGUUUGUUUAAUAAGUCAUACUACAGAAUUAUAUAACUCACAUUCUAGUUUAUUGCUAUAAAGUGGUCCAGGCUACUGUAAGUAAUGUGUUUCGCUGGCCUUCUUAAAACUGGAUGAUUAGGAGAGUUGCCUGAUCUCCCAGUUUUGAUCAUCUGGAAUUUUAAUCACAUGCCCUGCAUUCUAAAUUCUCACAAAUUGCCUGAAUGAUAAUCUUUCUCCUCUCUCUUUUUAGAUUGUAUUUUCUUUCUACCUAAAGUUUCCUCAAUUCGCAUUUUAUUUUGCUUUAGGAACCUUUACAAAAAUCAUAUUCUUCUUUCCUUUCCAUGAGACAAUUCUUCAUGAAUAGACCCACAAAAACAUCAAUAGUCAGUGGACUUAUAUGUCAGUUGUCCUCCAUAAAGUCAAUCGUUGUCUGUUUAGCACUCUUAAUUUGGUUUCCUUUCACCAGAUAAGUAAGUUACUAACUUCAAAUUUUGAUCUAGAGAUUUGUGACACUUGUCCUCUCCAAAAUUCGGUUGCUAUAAUCAUUGCAUGAUUCCAUAAAUAUCCAUAGUAUGCUACAGUUUUAGGGCUUGUUGCAAAAUAGUUUUUAGAUUGAUUUUAUUAAAACACUGAUUCUGUGUAAUUAUUCAUUUAUUUACCUCUCCUUUAAUAUUAGGGUCCCUUGGCUAAUGUACCCAGUAUGGAUUCUAUGUCAUUAAAAGCUGCAAUGGUCCAGUUUGAUCGUUAUUUGUCUGCUCCUGAUGGCCUGUUAAUG